AUUGAACGCUGGCGGCAUGCCUUACACAUGCAAGUCGAACGGCAGCACGGGUGCUUGCACCUGGUGGCGAGUGGCGAACGGGUGAGUAAUACAUCGGAACGUACCUUAUCGUGGGGGAUAACGCAGCGAAAGUUGCGCUAAUACCGCAUACGCCCUGAGGGGGAAAGCGGGGGACCGUAAGGCCUCGCGCGAUUAGAGCGGCCGAUGUCUGAUUAGCUUGUUGGUGAGGUAAAAGCUCACCAAGGCGAUGAUCAGUAGCUGGUCUGAGAGGACGAUCAGCCCCACUGGGACUGAGACACGGCCCAGACUCCUACGGGAGGCAGGAGUGGGGAAUUUUGGACAAUGGGGGCAACCCUGAUCCAGCAAUGCCGCGUGAGUGAAGAAGGCCUUCGGGUUGUAAAGCUCUUUUGUCAGGGAAGAAACAGCAGCUCUAACACAGUCUGCGAAUGACGGUACCUGAAGAAUAAGCACCGGCUAACUACGUGCCAGCCGCCGCGGUAA
rnacentral:rRNA from 1 species